UGGGGAAUUUUGGACAAUGGGCGAAAGCCUGAUCCAGCAAUGCCGCGUGUGUGAAGAAGGCCUUCGGUUGUAAAGCACUUUUGUCCGGAAAGAAAUCCUUGGCUCUAAUACAGUCGGGGGAUGACGGUACCGGAAGAAUAAGCACCGGCUAACUACGUGCCAGCAGCCGCGGUAAUACGUAGGGUGCAAGCGUUAAUCGGAAUUACUGGGCGUAAAGCGUGCGCAGGCGGUUUGCUAAGACCGAUGUGAAAUCCCCGGGCUCAACCUGGGAACUGCAUUGGUGACUGGCAGGCUAGAGUAUGGCAGAGGGGGGUAGAAUUCCACGUGUAGCAGUGAAAUGCGUAGAGAUGUGGAGGAAUACCGAUGGCGAAGGCAGCCCCCUGGGCCAAUACUGACGCUCAUGCACGAAAGCGUGGGGAGCAAACAGGAUUAGAUACCCUGGUAGUCCACGCCCUAAACGAUGUCAACUAGUUGUUGGGGAUUCAUUUCCUUAGUAACGUAGCUAACGCGUGAAGUUGACCGCCUGGGGAGUACGGUCGCAAGAUUAAAACUCAAGGAAUUGACGGGGUCAUAGCUGUUUCCU
rnacentral:rRNA from 1 species